GUCAUUAUUCAUGGCUUUGGUGAAGUACGGUGUAAAUCCGUCGCUGUCCCGCAACUGUGAGCCCGUUAGGGUGAGCCAGAUCCCAAAGUCAGGUGAAAUAA
rnacentral:ncRNA from 1 species